GCCCGGGUAGCUCAGUUGGUAGAGCAAAGGACUGAAAAUCCUUGUGUCGGUGGUUCGAGUCCGCCUCCGGGCACCA
rnacentral:tRNA from 1 species